CCUACGGGAGGCAGCAGUGAGGAAUAUUGGUCAAUGGGCGCGAGCCUGAACCAGCCAAGUAGCGUGAGGGAUGAAUGCCCUACGGGUUGUAAACUUCUUUUAUAAAGGAAUAAAGUGAGGCACGUGUGCCUUUUUGUAUGUACUUUAUGAAUAAGGAUCGGCUAACUCCGUGCCAGCAGCCGCGGUAAUACGGAGGAUCCGAGCGUUAUCCGGAUUUAUUGGGUUUAAAGGGUGCGUAGAUGGGUUGUUAAGUCAGUGGUGAAAGUUUGCGGCUCAACCGUAAAAUUGCAAUUGAUACUGGCAGCCUUGAGUACAUUUGAGGUAGGCGGAAUGCGUGGUGUAGCGGUGAAAUGCUUAGAUAUCACGAAGAACUCCGAUUGCGAAGGCAGCUUACCAAGCCGUCACUGACGCUGAUGCACGAAAGUGUGGGGAUCAAACAGGAUUAGAUACCCCGGUAGUC
rnacentral:rRNA from 1 species